UGGGGAAGCCCAGUGACGAAGACAGAAUGCCGGCGUCACAGGCUGAUUUUAAGGCAUCUCAGCUCCAUCCCCUGCUCACUUCUGACACAGUGAGGACAAACUUCAGCUUCAGCACCUCCAUAUCCACCUCUUUGUUGCAGCAGCCUGCAGCCAGCUGGGCAGAGCAGAUCCGUAAGGAAGGUUUUGCCGAGUUAACCUGAUGGUUAAUCAUCCUGUUACUCAGAGCAAGGCACGAGCCCGGGAGGAAGGCACAGAGCACAGCUGAAUCAGCUCCACCCCAGCUGCCAGAGACCCCCUGCCCUGGGUGCGGGCAGACCUCCGGAACCCACAUGUGUGUUCUGCUCACCAAGUCCUUUGCUGCUCCCUGCUUUGCACCCCCGGCCCCAGCCCCUUCCACGGCUCCUUCAGCAUCAGGCUGCUCCAUUUGGAAGGUGACUGUUAAAAAUACAGGCAGGAAUUCCCCGACAGAUUAAAGUCUUUGUCUUCCUGCAAAGGUUUCUCCCAUACCCCCCGUAGUGUGUUAGAGCAUGAGCCCCAUGUUGGUACCUCGUUAUGCCAGGACAGCUGAACAGCCAGAGCUAACGAGCAGAUGACUCUCAGCAGAUGCCUGUCAUUUUCUUAUGGAUUCUUUGUUGAUUCACUGGAUACAUAGUAUUUUUUUAAAGAUUUUAUUUAUUUAUUUGGGAGAGAGAGAGCGAGCAUGGGGAGGGGGAGGGGCAGAGGGAGAAGCAGGCUUCCCACAGAGCAGGGAGCCCGACGCGGGGCUCGAUCCCAGGACCCUGGGAUCAUGACCUGAGCCGAAGACAGAUGCUUAACUGACUAAACCACCCAGGCGCCCCUGGGCACGCAGGAUUUAAUGAGAGUCUGCAGUGGGCAGGCCUGAGAUGGACAGGACGGACGAGAUGGUGAGUGAUGGAGAUGGAGCUGCUGUCCUCGUGGAGGAGAGGAAAGAGACCCAUUAAGUCCCCAGAGCACAUGGGGUGAUGGCGGGACAGCAGACUUCAGGGCCGGCCUUGAGGAGGCUCCAUCUGCCAGCUUCCUCCCGUCUCCCCGUCAAGUGCGCAUCCAGAGUCUGCUUGCAUACCUCCGUGGAUGGGGAGCUCAUUGCCUGCUGGAGUCACCUUCCAGGCUCACGGUGGCUCUGGCUAAUGCAAAUUCUUCCCAAGAUGAAGGCAGAGAGCACAGGCCUGGACAGGAGGCUGGAAGAAGACGUGAAGGUGACACCUGGCAAAAUCACGAAGCUGACGCAGCUCUUCCUCUAGCUUCUGCAUCCCAUUGUGCCUGGUGUGGGGACACGGGAGUGAGUAACAGAGGACAGGGAUGCGGAGCUUGCUGAGUGCCUGGGCUGUGUUGGAGCACUGCGCAUGCUCCCCAAGGCCAUCCUCCUAAGAACCCCACUGGAAGCCUCUGAGCCAACACACACCCCGGGCAGGAAGUGGGCGCGAGGAACUGAACCCUCAGGCGGAAAGCAUUUCAGAAACUGGCUCAGCCGCCUGGUUGCUGGCACGGCUCCUGGCAUGCUGUUCCCUGCCUGGAAAACCCUUCCCUGCUCCAAGCCCUACUGCAAUCAGGCUCAGACUACUGGACAUCAGGAUAGUCUGUUUCCUGACAAAGUAUUUUCUGACUCCAAGCAAGACAAGCCGCCUGCUGUGUUCUCCCCUAGAGUCUUGCACUUACGUGUCCUAACACAAGUCACAGACUUUUGCUUGCUUACUGUUCUGCCCCGUUUUACACCUCCUCUGCUGCUCACGGCUGGGUUCUGAGCACCCCACAAUAGGGAUUGACUCCAGAAAUAUUUUAUGCGUUCCCUUCCUCCCAUAUAUCUGAAGAAUGCAGAGCAGAACAAAUUUUAUCAGUGACUUUUAUAAGUACCACACUCCUACAGGGCUUCCUGACACAGCUCUCAUUUCCACUACUGACGCCACUAAGGUCUUACCCGAUGCCUUGUAAAACUGCAUCAUCACACUUAAAAACAACUUUGUGUCCAUGUCAGGUAUUUUGCAGAGUAAUCUGCACAUUUUCCUGCAGAGUAAUCCGCAUAGGAGCCAUCACUCAAAAUGAAGCAAAAUGAAGCUGUCCUCACAACUUCACACUCAUCCAGCUGAUUCUUAAGGUGGCCCCAGCCCUUGAUCGGGAGGUAGGCUGGAGGGGCGUUUGGGGUUCUCGCCCAGGCCCCAUCAUCAGACUCUGGCUCUAGAUGCACUUUGCAGCCUCAUCACAGAAGUCUUCAGUAGGCUUGGUAGCAAGAGGCGUAGUGAACUUUUUCUCCUGCUGGUGUCUGCUUUCCCCUCCCUGGCCACCACCAACUCCCCUCCACUGAUGCUAGACAUGGAUUUUUGUGCUUAGAUUUGAAUUUGGUUAUAGAAUCCCAGGAGCACUUCCACAGAUGUCUCCAAAUGUCUGCCUCCAUUUCCAGAUGCCACUUGGGAGACAUUUUAGUGCAUGGCUGAGUACUUGGAAUUUGGACCUUGAGAGCCUCGGCUUGAUCGCUCACCAGCUAUGGGAUUUCAGAAUGAAGCUCUUCAUGUCACCAGUAGAUCGCAAGCACCACACAUCUUUCCUUCGUGAUUUGAUUUACAGGAGCUGGAAGUGCCCACUUCGUGGUAGGUCUGCACCCAUGUUCACCAAAGAAGUGAGUGGAUGAACCAGUUCCUGAGCCUUACGGUUUACGUGUUAAAGAGGGAGAGAUGGUCUCUAUAGGAUGGUUAACAUAGUUAAAUGAAUGUUUGUAACAAGCUUUUUAUGACACUUGGCACACGAUAAUUGCUCAGUGAAUGGAAAAAUGGUGACUAAUGUUCUCAGUUGCUCGUAGGGACUGGAGCAGUGAAAGCAGACCACGCAGAUGGCGGAAAAGGGGACGAUGCUCCCCGUGUCCAUGGUGCCUGACCAUGCGAUGUCCUCAGGGCUGCAGGCAGGUAGAGGAGGAAGUCUGCACUUUGUCGAGGUUGGAGAAUAGAGUGGGGGCAUUUCCAGAUGCAAGAUGGCUGAGGGGAUGCUUGGGGCUGGGUAGGGGUCCCUGUUGGUUUGCAACCCUCUCCAGAGCUUCCCGGGUAUGAUCUGAAACUGGCCCCCCUACACAGAGGUCGGGGAGGGGUGGAAGAGAAGCAGGCCACUCCAGGGUGGUAGUGGCAGUUUUAAUAAGCAAGGGAUCUUCCAUACGAGGCUUGUCUUGGGCAGCAGUAAGACGAAUGGAUCCUGGCAUCCAUCCAUCAAAUCUUAAGUUUGUAUAGAGAGGCCUUAACUAGGUUCAGUUCUGUAUAUCAUGCAGGUGUUUUCAACACCACAUCACUAGCUCGAAGCUUUGUCCUCCGAGCAGCCUGUAGGAGCAGAGCAGGGAAGGCAAGAAGAACCCCCAUAUCAAGGACAGGGGAGGGGAUGAGGAGCCUCUGAGUGCCCCGGUCCACCUCAGGGGUCAACCUUUAGCUCAGUGGUCAUUCUUCUCGAUGACCUUCUCCACAGUCCCCCAGUCAGGGAAGAGAGGCUGGCUAUUCCCAGCAGAGACUUAGACUCAUAGUCACUGAGCUAAAGGAUCUUUGAAAAUAUUUGUAUUCAAAGUGUACAAAAUUACAAUGUAUUUGCAUCAGAAACACAAAUUAAAGUAACUGUACAAAUUUUUAAAAAGUAUUCUUCAUGAAUGUUUUCAGUUACUUUUCUCCUAUAAUAUUCAAAAUUCUCUAUUGAAACUAAGAGGCAGAAUAUACAUCAAAUGGAAGAAUGAAAAAUUUAAAUAAAAGUUUUGUCGAUCAAAAUGGAUUUAUUUCUUUGAAAAUGUAAUGAAAUCCCAUCGAGUAUUUUUACAAAAUAAAACUAUUGGCAAAUCAAGGGUUCAAUGUCCAUCUAGUUGCCAACAUAAAGAAUCUGUAUCACCCUUCAAAUGAAUUUUAUCUAGACUUACCAUAUCCAGCUAUAAUCAUAAGAUGAAUUUUAAUAAUGCAAAAUGUUCCCAAACCAUCCGUGCAAUUUGUGCCAGUACCUGGCAGGUUCAUGAGUGCCCCUGGAUCUACUUACUGGAACCAAAAGGAAGCAAGACAAGGAUACUCUGCACUGCAGGAAAACGCUACUUUGUUAUGCAAGAAUCUACAGCAUCAGUGCACUCCAGAGCAGAGAGGCUGCACAUUGUUAAUUAACUCAUUUGUCUUUUCUUGAAACGAAAUCUUUAAGCUGCUCAAAUCCUCCUCACACUUUAAAGCAGUGUCUGUCUCUAAAGUUGGCAGCAAAACUUACAAAUCUUGGAAGCAUUUGGGUGCAGCCACACUUUGCUAUCAGGAGAUCAAUGCCAAGAAGCGUUCCCAGGGUCCUGAACUGUGGCUAGGACCCUGGGACAUGCUGUGCCAGGGCCCAGGGACAGAGGCCCCCACGAGUUCUUUCACACCCCAAGAGCGUGUUUAUGAUUUGCAGGCCCUCUGAAGAGUGGGAGGGUCCAGCGCAGGAGCCCCUCUUGCCUUGGCCGAAGGGGAUACAUUCUUUUCUACCAGAUUCUGAUUGACGGUAGCUACUGCAUUCUGGGAUCAGUGUAUUUCAGCUUGACUGGGUGAUAAAGGUGCUUUCAGUUCUUUACAGUACUUCUCACCUCCUGAAAUAUUUUGUUUUUCAAAACCAAAACAAAACAAAAAGAUUACUUUAUUGCCCACUUUCUUCCUUAGAAUGUGAACUCUAGGAAGGGAGAUUUUUUUCUUUUUUCUGUUUUCUUCCCUGCCUUGAACAGCCCGUAGUAAGUAAGACUUUGAAGAACAUAGAGUGAAUGACUGCAAAAAUAAACCAAGGUAUCUUGAUGGCUCACUACCUGUCAAGGUGUGAGUCCCCUCAGAGCUCGGCAUAGCACGGAGCAUGAGCAAGGGAUUCUGAAAGAGACUCCAAUCCAGCCUUACCUGCCUUUCAUUCAUUCACUCACUCAGCCCAUGAGCCAGCUUCUCCCCUCUCCACUAACUGGAGGGGCUUCUGCUUCCAGCAGGUGACUCAGAAGUUCCCGGGUGCUAGGCAGCGGGCGUUCCCAGACAGGUUUAAGAGCUGGUACCAAAAUCUGGUUGAGUGCCGAAAGAGUUAAAUUAUCCCCGCUUUGGAAGAGUUGCCAUUUUGCCUGUCCUGCACACAAAAGAGCAAUGGAGGUCAGGGUCCCUCCACUGGAGGGUAGAGGCAAUCCAGAUGCCCAGCAAAGGAGCCUGGCUCAGCAUACCUCUCUGGGGAUGUCACCCCUCCUGCUGACCUUGGCCUUAUGAGUUUCCCUUCCUCCAGUAAAGUCUGUUCCUUCACCCACAUCAUGUGGCUUUGUGGAACUUGCCCAAAACCUAAGUGCACCACCUUCAGGAUCUACUGGGAAAAAUAGUCUGUUCAUCACCAACCCCCCUAACUUCUCUGCUGUCUUGAAGAUUUAAGAAGAAAAUGCUCUUCAAUAACUUAGGCUAAUGGCGGGGGUAAGUAUGUAAAACUGCACAUUCUAGACAGCAUGAUACAUUCUGUGAUAUGAAGGUGAGCACAGUUUGGGGGGGAGCACUGAAUUUGAGAUAAGGACUUACUCUGUCCAGAUCAAUCUGAGAGGGCUUCACCAAGGAGGUGAUACCUGAGUGUUCCAAUCUGGACACCUUCUCUUCCUGGGUUCACUCCCUUAUUCCCCUGUGAGGGUUGUUUGGGGUCACCUCCCCAAUAAAACACUGGAUUUAUGUCCUCUUUUCAGGAUUGCUUCUGGGGGGACUGGCCUAAGACUUAUUGUUUCUUAAACACCAAAUUGAUGUCAUGGCCAAGAGAUUGCCAUCAUCCAGAGCUGUGCUCCAGAAAUCCAGUUUGGAGAACAGCAGGGGGUGUGACCUCUAAAGCGCUUCCUGCUAUAGCAUGCCUUACUGUGCAAGGCAGGUGGGACCAAGCUGUGCUUAGAGUCUGGGCUUUUAAAUAAACCUUAAGUUCAGAUUCUGCAUCCUACCAGCUGUGUGACCUUGGGUGAUGUAUGCAUCUCCUGUGGCUGCCAUGAAAGUACCGCAACCUGGUAUAGAAAUUUAUUUUCUCACAGUUCUGGAUGCCAGACAUGAGUCCAAAAUUAAAAUGUCAGCAGGGUUGGUUCCUUUUGUUGGUUUCGGAGGGCGAGUCUGUUGCAUGCUUCUCCCCAGCUUCUGGCGGCUGCUGGCAAUUCUUCACGUUCCCUGGCUUGUAGAGACAUCACUCCAAUCUCUGCCACUCUCCACAUGGCCUUCUCCUAGUGUGUCUCUGCCUCUAGAUUUCCGUCUUAUAAGAACGGUUAUUGGAUUAGGCCUCAAUCCAGUACAACCUUCAUUUAACUUAAUUACAACUGCAAAGACCCUAUUUCCAAAUAAGGUUACGUUUACAGGUUCCAGGUCCUAGGACUUGAAUAUGUCUUUUGGAGGGCACAAUUCAACCUAUAACAGGCAAGGUGCCUAACCUCUCUGGAUUCCCUUUCCUGUUUGGCAAAACAGGGAUGAAAACAGGCCAGUAAGAGGACUGAAUGCUAAAAUAUGUGUCAAAUGCUCAGCCCAGAUCCUGGCAUACAUUAAGCACUUGGUCAAUGGUGGUGGGGAUUACUGGUGAGUGAAGGUUAUCAGCCAGAACCUCCAGAGCCCUAGGUCUACCAGAUGGUCCCAGAUCUUUCUAAGGCUUUGCAAUAAAUGAGCUGUCAUGCCAGGUACUAUCACACAGACAUGUGGCUCACGUGGGUCAGCUCUGUCACCAACAAUGAUGGAAAAGCUCAGGGAUUCCUUUCUCUGAGUUGGGAAAUGGGGCCCAGAAGGGAAGACCUGGAGCUCAUUCCCAUAUAUUCCUGGAGGCUUAGCUGAGGUUUUCAUGGAGAGAAAAAGGCAUAGAACUGAGAUCAAAGAGGUCAGGGUUUGAAUCUCUGUGCAGCCAUUUACUGUGGUUUUGUGUUCUUGGGCUAGUAACACCUCUGGGCCCUGGUUCCUUCCCCUCCCGUACCUGUGAUACGUCAUUCAUCUUAUUAUCCUGGUGUGGCCAGCACCUGAUACAUCGUUCCUCUUAUUCCCUUCAACAAACAAUGCUUCUCAGAUCAAUUAAGAAGAAAAGAUUUUAUUUUGUCUUCAUUUCUUCCUUCUUCAAUCUUCUUCCUUCCUUUAUGUAGAUCUGAGUUCCUGACCCAUAACCUUUUCCUUCUCGCUGAAGAUCUUUGUUUAACAUAUUUUGUAGGGCAGGUCCCUCAGUUUCUGUUUGUCUGGGAAAGUCUGCUUCCUUCACUUUUGGGGGAUAAUUUUGCUAGAUACAGAAUUCUUGGUUGGUGGAGGUGGGAAGUGCAGAAAAGCAUGAACAAAUUGGAGGUCAUCUGCAAUCAUCUACCUACUUAAACCCUCACAGCCUGUGCCUUGCUCAUCACAGGAGUGGGGACUCUGCAUUGCAGUUGCCAUUCAACUGGACAUAUGUCAUCGUGGUGCCUGCCCGUUACCUUUUGAAUGGCUUUUUGCGUUGGGGAAGGAAGUCUCCACUUGAUGAGUUCUCCUUACGUCUCCAAUGGAGGAGCAGAACUCAAUUUCCCAGCUCCCCUUACAGGUAGAAUGGAAGCAUGUGACCUAGACCCCACCAAUCAGGAGCAACCAAAGGGGAUUUGGCUUCAGAGGAAAGAAAUUGAUGGCAGCACCAAUUGUACCUCCUGCUCAGCAUCUCCAAAGCUGGUGCCUGGAAGCAAUGGGACCACGUGUGCCGCCCGUUCAAUGGCGUGUUAUAAUCACGGCUCCCGGCUGCAUCAUGUCCCAUUCGAUUCUCUGGACAUCCCAGAGAGCCUCGCCUCCCCAUCCUUUGUUUGGGAGACAUGUGGCCAAGACAAUGCCAGUCACCACUGGGUUUCCAAGUCAUCCUCAGUUCUGAGGAGCAACAUAACAGAAUUCUAGUAUUGGAAGGAUACUUUGACAUGACCUCAUCCAUCUUCUAUCUGGUUUGUGAAUCGUCCUGUUGCAUUUCUGACAUGCCCAUUAAACCCAUUCCAUGGUACAUUUGUUCAUUCAAUUCUUCGUGUUUGUGGGCAUGUCUGUUAUGUGCCUAUGUUGUUCAGGAUGUCAGGGAAGACGACGGUAAUGACAAUGAUGACCUUGGCAUUCAUCCUGUCUGUAUUAGUUAAGUAAUGGGCUGAACCAAAAGAAAUCCUCAAAUCAGUUUAACUGUGAGAGUGCACCAUCUCUUAACCAUCCAGAAGUAGGCAGGCCACCCAAGUCCAGUAGGGCAUUCUGCUGCACGAGGUUACCAGGGCCCCAAGCUCCUUCUGUUUGCUCUCUUACUUCCUAGGGUGUGGUCCUCUCUGGUAGGGCUGAAGCUGGCUCCGGCUGUCUUGGCUGUAUCACAGCCUAUAAGAGGGGGAAGGGAGGGUGUAGUGGUCACACACAUCACUUUUCAUAUCCUAUCGGCUGGAACUUCGUCACAUGGCCACUCCUACCUGCAAAGGAAGCUGGGAGAUGUAGUCUCUAGCCUGUGCUCAACUAAAACUGGCUAUGUGUGUUGUAUUUUUUAAAAAAGAAGGGACAAAUGGAUACCGAAGAUCAAGUCUUUGCCAUACAGCCCAACUCCUUCAUUCUUUCAGUUUACACAUGAGGAGACUGAGGCCCAGGGAGGGGAAGUAGCUUAUCUGAGGUUCCAUAGUAAGUCAGUGGCUGUACAAUUUUUAAGACCACGGUGUCUUUCAGUAAAUCGUUAUUAUUACUCCUGCAACGUGUGGCUUCUGCUUUCCAGGAGAAGAAUGUAUUCUCUGUGAUGUAAAUUAUUCUAUAGAUGAGUGGUUCUUGAUCCUUUUCUUUGGUGGGGAGGGGUGGAUUCAUGGAGCCUUUGAAGUAACUAUGGAAGAUUUUAACUGUCUCCCCAUAAAAAUAUUCAAAUGUGCACUCACACACACACAUGCACACAUACAAGUACAGUUUUAGAGUGUUCAUGACGACUCCUUUAAGCCUCUAAGAAUCCCUAUAAACCCAUGUGGGAACACAAAGAAACACACCCCACAGAUGCUGCAUCUGGCAGCUACAGAGACUUCCUUCUGAUCCAGCCUGUUUCACAUUACAGCUAGAAUUCUCUGCAAACACUUAAUUUGAGGUCACCAUGGAGCUACUAUGCAAAUUGUCUUAAUGUAAGAAGGAGAAGCUCAGACUUGCUGGUCUACCAAGUUCCAAACUAUGAAAAUGCCUCCAGGGAAGUGCUAUAAUGCCAAGAAAUGCAGACACACCACAUUAGUAGCGAUGUAUGGACCCUUAUUUUGUGCAAGAACACACACAUACACACACAAAGACUCUUAACAAUAAAAAGGUUACUCUUGAAAUUACUAUUUUUUAAAAAAUCAUCAGGGAUGAUUUGCUAUCUGAGUGAGAUGAUUUCCAGCCACAGAACUGGAUGUGCAAACUGUGCCUUAUCUUGGUAUGCCACAAAACAGCCUUUAUCAUUUUUUUGUUUAUAAUGUACAAUGCUGCCAAACAGAACAUAUUGAAACCGAGUGCAAGCAGACGGUAUUUACUCUAAGUGAACCAGAAUCAAGUUUUAAAUAAAAUAGACUUAACAGAAAUGAUAACAAAAUCUGAUCUAGCAGACUCUAAGAAAUGGCUUGGCACACAAGACACCCUGCCCUGGGGAAUCACAUUAGCCUCUACAGCACGAUCGUGUUACAUAAAAUUAAAGGUUAUAGCCUCUGGAUCCAAGCAUGAAUGCUUAAUCAUGUUCUCAAUGAGAGGAAUAGCAGCCCCAGGAAUCAACUCAUGAACGUUUAAGGCAGGAAAAGAAUCCCAGUUCUUACUUCUGUGCUUAUGUUUGGGAUUCGAGAAGUAACACAAGACUCAUGCGCUCAGUCCCUAGGAGAAUCCUUAGACCGUAACUAUCAUGAUCUUUUCAAAGUCCACCUUCUGAGAAAGCCAGAUAGGCUUGGCACAGAGAAGCAGACGGCUUUUAUUUUGCUUAUGUAUUUUUGCACAGAGUUAGAAGACCAUUCUGAGACUCAUCAGGAUGUGAGCCGGGCAAGAGGGCAAGACCUGGAGUUGGCUUCAUCUGGAACACAGCUGAAACCAAGUUCAGCCAUUCUCUCUUGAGGAGACCGGCCAGCACUCGAUGUUGGCUAGGAGGUGGAGGAGAAAUGUGCUUACUCCAAAAUAAUUCAGGCAGAUGUGUCAGAACAACACGACCACGCCCUUCACGAUGGAAGAGUCAUGACGAGGGUUUCUGAAGGCUCCCACCCUCAGCUGCCUGUGGCGUCCUGCUGGCCCAAGGCAAAGAAUGCCCGGAACUGAGCCCCCCUCGAAGCCUCCAGAGGGAACCCAUCCCGCUGACAACUUGAUGCUGGAUUUCUGGCCUCCAGAACAGUGAAAGAAACUAUUUUUGCUGAUUGAAGCCAGCAAGUUUGUGGUAACGGGUUGCAGCAGUCGUGGGGGAUGAACGCCGGAGCUGUGGUAUGGAGGACCGGCCAUUUGAAUCCCCUGAGCCCCUUUUCCUCCAUCUGGAAGGUAGGGCUGAUGGUAGCACCUCCUUGCUGCCCAGACAGCAAGGACAGCAAUGGGCCGUGAAACAUGCCUUGCAAAGUUGGGGCAACUUAGUGUCCAUGGGAUGUUUUUUUUUUUCUCAAAAUGAAAAUAUAUUUUUUUUUUUACUGAUUAUUAAAAUAAUGUGAUUAUAAAAUACUUCCUUUUUUUUUUUUAAAGAUUUAUUUAUUUAUUUAUUUGACAGAGAGAGAGAGAGAGGGAACACAAGCAGGGGGAGUGGGAGAAGGAGAAGCAGGCUUCCCGCGGAGCAGGAAGGGGGGAUCAUGACCUGAGCCGAAGGCAGGCGCUUAACGACUGAGCCACGCAGGUGCCCCGAAAUACUUCUUUAUAAUAGCAAUUUGUACAGUCAUACAAAAGCACUCAAAAAAAUAAAAAUAAU